rnacentral:lncRNA from 1 species
CGUAAUGGGGAGAUAAUUUUGAAGAAGUAAAAUCCUGACUGUAUGAAUAACAUUUCUGUAUAUAUACAAAUUGACAACGUUCCGCCUUGUGAUACGCUUUUCGUACAAUACUAUUUUAAGGAUCUACUUUGCUGGAGCUCACCUUCACUAGUUUAUUCGAAUGAUAUUUUCUAAAUAUUUCUGUUAUUUUAUUUGCACGACAAAAUGAAAGACG